rnacentral:rRNA from 1 species
UGACCGCUGGCGGCGUGCCUACUACAUGCACGUCGAGCGAACAGACGAGGAGCUUGCUCCUCUGACGUUAGCGGCGGACGGGUGAGUAACACGUGGAUAACCUACCUAUAAGACUGGGAUAACUUCGGGAAACCGGAGCUAAUACCGGAUAAUAUAUUGAACCGCAUGGUUCAAUAGUGAAAGACGGUUUUGCUGUCACUUAUAGAUGGAUCCGCGCCGCAUUAGCUAGUUGGUAAGGUAACGGCUUACCAAGGCAACGAUGCGUAGCCGACCUGAGAGGGUGAUCGGCCACACUGGAACUGAGACACGGUCCAGACUCCUACGGGAGGCAGCAGUAGGGAAUCUUCCGCAAUGGGCGAAAGCCUGACGGAGCAACGCCGCGUGAGUGGUGAAGGUCUUCGGAUCGUAAAACUCUGUUAUUAGGGAAGAACAAAUGUGUAAGUAACUAUGCACGUCUUGACGGUACCUAAUCAGAAAGCCACGGCUAACUACGUG